rnacentral:rRNA from 1 species
CUUUACUGUAGCCUGGUAUUGGGUUCGGGCUUUGACUGCGCAGGAUAGGUGGGAGACUGAGAAGUGUGCCUUGUGGGGCACAUGGAGUCAACGGUGAGAUACCACUCUGUCAGAGCUAGAAUUCUAACCUUCACCCGUAAUCCGGGGAAGGAACCGUAUCAGGUGGGCAGUUUGAUUGGGGCGGUCGCCUCCUAAAAGGUAACGGAGGCGCGCAAAGGUGUUCUCAGGCUGGUUGGAAAUCAGCCGUAGAGUGUAAAGGCAGAAGAACGCUUGACUGUGAGAGUGACAACUCAAGCAGGGUGGAAACACGGCCUUAGUGAUCCGACGGUAUGCGCGUGGAAGCGCCGCCGCUCAACGGAUAAAAGUUA